rfam:Virgibacillus soli strain PL205 scaffold000047, whole genome shotgun sequence.
CUUUUUUACGCAUAAUAAACCACCUCUAUACAUUCUACUGUUCCUGUUAAACUAGAAACAGGUAUAGAAAAACGUACUAUAUGUUUAGACAGUUCCUGUUGCGUUAUUUAUACAACAAAAGAUACUGCCAGACGGCAAUAAAAAAAAUCGUUAUCUGGCAGUGCUCUUUUCAUGCGUUAAAAUGAUAUUCCCUUUCCAGACGACGGUUUAAAUAGCCGCCGUCUUUCUUUUUAUACAGAAU